rnacentral:rRNA from 1 species
AGAGCACUCCUACGGGAGGCAGCAGUGGGGAAUAUUGCACAAUGGGCGCAAGCCUGAUGCAGCCAUGCCGCGUGUAUGAAGAAGGCCUUCGGGUUGUAAAGUACUUUCAGCAGUGAGGAAGGUGGAUAUGUUAAUAGCAUAUCAUUUGACGUUAGCUGCAGAAGAAGCACCGGCUAACUCCGUGCCAGCAGCCGCGGUAAUACGGAGGGUGCGAGCGUUAAUCGGAAUUACUGGGCGUAAAGCGCAUGCAGGUGGUUUGUUAAGUCAGAUGUGAAAGCCCGGGGCUCAACCUCGGAAUUGCAUUUGAAACUGGCAAACUAGAGUACUGUAGAGGGGGUAGAAUUUCAGGUGUAGCGGUGAAAUGCGUAGAGAUCUGAAGGAAUACCGGUGGCGAAGGCGGCCCCCUGGACAGAUACUGACACUCAGAUGCGAAAGCGUGGGGAGCAAACAGGAUUAGAUACCCUGGUAG